UAUUAUAAUAUUUUUUAAAUAAAAAUAAAAUAUAUCAAAAAUCUCCUAAAUCAAAAUCCUCCUCUCCUAGCAUCUCGUCAUCACUGAGAGGGGCUGAAGCAGGAUCGGAAGGGGCUAUAGUAGGAGCUGGAGGGGCUAGGGCUAGGGCUAGAGCCAGAGGGGCUGGAGUUGAAACGCUAGCCAACAUGUCUUGAAUACUCAAAAAAUCAGUUCUAAG
rnacentral:lncRNA from 1 species